GGUUGACCUUCUUGGUCGAGCUGGGAAGUUAGAUGAAGCUGUAGAUUUGAUAAAGAAAAUGCCUUUCAAACCUCAUGUCGCUAUUUUUGGAACUCUUUUGGGUGCUUGUAGGAUACACAAGAACAUAGAGAUGGCUGAGUUUGCUGCCAAGAACUUGCUUGAUCUUGAUCCAACAAGUGCAACCGGUUAUGUUCAACUUGCAAAUGCUUAUGCAGCUCAGAACAGAUGGGACCAUGUUGCCAGGGUUAGGCGUUCAAUGAAAAGCAGCAGGGUAGUGAAGACCCCUGGGUACAGUUGGCUUGAAGUUAAGAGCGUAGUUCAUAAGUUCAGAUCAAGUGAUAGGAUUCACCCAGAAUUAGCUUGGGUACAUCAAAAACUGAACGAAUUAGAGAAGAAAAUGAAGUUAGCAGGAUAUGUGCCAGAUCUUGAAUAUGCAUUGCAUGAUGUGGAAGAAGAGCAGAAAGUGCAGCUUUUGCUGUGGCACAGCGAGAAGCUGGCAAUUGCUUAUGGCCUUAUCAAAUUGCCAUUAAGGACACCAAUACGGGUGUUCAAAAACUUGAGAGUGUGCGGGGAUUGCCAUCGUGCUAUAAAGUACAUAUCUGCAAUAGAAAGAAGAGAAAUUAUUGUCAGAGAUAAUACAAGGUUUCAUCAUUUCAAAGAUGGAUUUUGUUCUUGUGGUGAUUAUUGGUAGCAAAUAUGAUAUACAUAGGAACCAACUUUGGUGAAUAGAUCUAGCAUGUUCGAAAACAUAAAAGGGAGCACCAUUUCAUAGUUUUAUGAGAAAUUACAAAUAAAU
rnacentral:misc_RNA from 1 species